rnacentral:tRNA from 1 species
GGAGAUAUAGCUCAGUGGUAGAGUGCUUGCCUUGCAUGCCCAGGGCCCUGAGUACAAUCCCCAGUAUCACCA